GGGUUGUGAGGUUAAGCGACUAAGCGUACACGGUGGAUGCCCUGGCAGUCAGAGGCGAUGAAGGACGUGCUAAUCUGCGAUAAGCGUCGGUAAGGUGAUAUGAACCGUUAUAACCGGCGAUUUCCGAAUGGGGAAACCCAGUGUGAUUCGUCACACUAUCAUUAACUGAAUCCAUAGGUUAAUGAGGCGAACCGGGGGAACUGAAACAUCUAAGUACCCCGAGGAAAAGAAAUCAACCGAGAUUCCCCCAGUAGCGGCGAGCGAACGGGGAGCAGCCCAGAGCCUGAAUCAGUGUGUGUGUUAGUGGAAGCGUCUGGAAAGGCGCGCGAUACAGGGUGACAGCCCCGUACACAAAAAUGCACAUAUUGUGAGCUCGAUGAGUAGGGCGGGACACGUGGUAUCCUGUCUGAAUAUGGGGGGACCAUCCUCCAAGGCUAAAUACUCCUGACUGACCGAUAGUGAACCAGUACCGUGAGGGAAAGGCGAAAAGAACCCCGGCGAGGGGAGUGAAAAAGAACCUGAAACCGUGUACGUACAAGCAGUGGGAGCACGCUUCGGCGUGUGACUGCGUACCUUUUGUAUAAUGGGUCAGCGACUUAUAUUCUGUAGCAAGGUUAACCGAAUAGGGGAGCCGAAGGGAAACCGAGUCUUAACUGGGCGUUAAGUUGCAGGGUAUAGACCCGAAACCCGGUGAUCUAGCCAUGGGCAGGUUGAAGGUUGGGUAACACUAACUGGAGGACCGAACCGACUAAUGUUGAAAAAUUAGCGGAUGACUUGUGGCUGGGGGUGAAAGGCCAAUCAAACCGGGAGAUAGCUGGUUCUCCCCGAAAGCUAUUUAGGUAGCGCCUCGUGAACUCAUCUCCGGGGGUAGAGCACUGUUUCGGCAAGGGGGUCAUCCCGACUUACCAACCCGAUGCAAACUGCGAAUACCGGAGAAUGUUAUCACGGGAGACACACGGCGGGUGCUAACGUCCGUCGUGAAGAGGGAAACAACCCAGACCGCCAGCUAAGGUCCCAAAGUCAUGGUUAAGUGGGAAACGAUGUGGGAAGGCCCAGACAGCCAGGAUGUUGGCUUAGAAGCAGCCAUCAUUUAAAGAAAGCGUAAUAGCUCACUGGUCGAGUCGGCCUGCGCGGAAGAUGUAACGGGGCUAAACCAUGCACCGAAGCUGCGGCAGCGACGCUUAUGCGUUGUUGGGUAGGGGAGCGUUCUGUAAGCCUGUGAAGGUGUGCUGUGAGGCAUGCUGGAGGUAUCAGAAGUGCGAAUGCUGACAUAAGUAACGAUAAAGCGGGUGAAAAGCCCGCUCGCCGGAAGACCAAGGGUUCCUGUCCAACGUUAAUCGGGGCAGGGUGAGUCGACCCCUAAGGCGAGGCCGAAAGGCGUAGUCGAUGGGAAACAGGUUAAUAUUCCUGUACUUGGUGUUACUGCGAAGGGGGGACGGAGAAGGCUAUGUUGGCCGGGCGACGGUUGUCCCGGUUUAAGCGUGUAGGCUGGUUUUCCAGGCAAAUCCGGAAAAUCAAGGCUGAGGCGUGAUGACGAGGCACUACGGUGCUGAAGCAACAAAUGCCCUGCUUCCAGGAAAAGCCUCUAAGCAUCAGGUAACAUCAAAUCGUACCCCAAACCGACACAGGUGGUCAGGUAGAGAAUACCAAGGCGCUUGAGAGAACUCGGGUGAAGGAACUAGGCAAAAUGGUGCCGUAACUUCGGGAGAAGGCACGCUGAUAUGUAGGUGAAGUCCCUCGCGGAUGGAGCUGAAAUCAGUCGAAGAUACCAGCUGGCUGCAACUGUUUAUUAAAAACACAGCACUGUGCAAACACGAAAGUGGACGUAUACGGUGUGACGCCUGCCCGGUGCCGGAAGGUUAAUUGAUGGGGUCAGCGCAAGCGAAGCUCUUGAUCGAAGCCCCGGUAAACGGCGGCCGUAACUAUAACGGUCCUAAGGUAGCGAAAUUCCUUGUCGGGUAAGUUCCGACCUGCACGAAUGGCGUAAUGAUGGCCAGGCUGUCUCCACCCGAGACUCAGUGAAAUUGAACUCGCUGUGAAGAUGCAGUGUACCCGCGGCAAGACGGAAAGACCCCGUGAACCUUUACUAUAGCUUGACACUGAACAUUGAGCCUUGAUGUGUAGGAUAGGUGGGAGGCUUUGAAGUGUGGACGCCAGUCUGCAUGGAGCCGACCUUGAAAUACCACCCUUUAAUGUUUGAUGUUCUAACGUGGACCCGUGAUCCGGGUUGCGGACAGUGUCUGGUGGGUAGUUUGACUGGGGCGGUCUCCUCCUAAAGAGUAACGGAGGAGCACGAAGGUUGGCUAAUCCUGGUCGGACAUCAGGAGGUUAGUGCAAUGGCAUAAGCCAGCUUGACUGCGAGCGUGACGGCGCGAGCAGGUGCGAAAGCAGGUCAUAGUGAUCCGGUGGUUCUGAAUGGAAGGGCCAUCGCUCAACGGAUAAAAGGUACUCCGGGGAUAACAGGCUGAUACCGCCCAAGAGUUCAUAUCGACGGCGGUGUUUGGCACCUCGAUGUCGGCUCAUCACAUCCUGGGGCUGAAGUAGGUCCCAAGGGUAUGGCUGUUCGCCAUUUAAAGUGGUACGCGAGCUGGGUUUAGAACGUCGUGAGACAGUUCGGUCCCUAUCUGCCGUGGGCGCUGGAGAACUGAGGGGGGCUGCUCCUAGUACGAGAGGACCGGAGUGGACGCAUCACUGGUGUUCGGGUUGUCAUGCCAAUGGCACUGCCCGGUAGCUAAAUGCGGAAGAGAUAAGUGCUGAAAGCAUCUAAGCACGAAACUUGCCCCGAGAUGAGUUCUCCCUGACCCUUUAAGGGUCCUGAAGGAACGUUGAAGACGACGACGUUGAUAGGCCGGGUGUGUAAGCGCAGCGAUGCGUUGAGCUAACCGGUACUAAUGAACCGUGAGGCUUAACCUUACAACGCCGAAGCUGUU
rnacentral:rRNA from 1 species